GAGUUUGAUCAUGGCUCAGAUUGAACGCUGGCGGCAUGCCUUACACAUGCAAGUCGAACGGCAGCACGGGAGCUUGCUCCUGGUGGCGAGUGGCGAACGGGUGAGUAAUGCAUCGGAACGUAUCCUGGAGUGGGGAUAACGUAGCGAAAGUUACGCUAAUACCGCAUAUUCUGUGAGCAGGAAAGCGGGGGACCUUCGGGCCUCGCGCUCUUGGAGCGGCCGAUGUCGGAUUAGCUAGUUGGUGAGGUAAAGGCUCACCAAGGCGACGAUCCGUAGCAGGUCUGAGAGGAUGAUCUGCCACACUGGAACUGAGACACGGUCCAGACUCCUACGGGAGGCAGCAGUGGGUAAUAUUGGGCAAUGGACGCAAGUCUGACCCAGCAACGCCGCGUGAAGGAAGAAGGCUUUCGGGUUGUAACUUCUUUGACAGGGAAGAGUAGAAGACGGUACCCUGAAACAAGCCACGGCUAACUACGUGACAGCAGCCGCUGUAAU
rnacentral:rRNA from 1 species